rnacentral:rRNA from 1 species
GUCUACAGCCAUACCACCCUAAACAUGCCUAAUCUCCUCUGGUCUCAGAAGCUAAAUACUUGGAUGGGAGAUAAAUCUUCAAAAGAGACUGCUCAGAGACAAACAGUUUGUAGACA